GAGCGAGAGAGCAAGCGGCGGAGGGAGGGGAGACCAACUUCUAGUGCUACCAUAAUUCGCCUAAAGCAGGUGCAGCAACUUUCACCCCGCCUGGCAGCCCGCUGAGAGCGAGAGAAAACCACGUGCACCAAACUUUAGGGGAGGAAAAAUGGGAACGUGGGGAGAAGACGUGAGGCGGCAGAUCUGAAAAAGAUGGUCAUUCCGGACUCCUGACGCCGCCAGUCCCGCGGUGAGACGUGAGCGCCAUUGGCGUCCGUGGCCUCUGUUUCCGUGGCAACCUAGUAACCAUUAAUUUUCAAUUAAAGGAGACAAAAAGCUCGAUGACAGCUCCAGGUCUGCUGAAGAUGUCAAGAAUCUGUAUUAAUAUACAGCAAGAGAGCAUAAUUGUGUGUCCAUCUUCCAGAGCAGCGAAAAAUGGAGGGAUAAUUACCAGCUCGAAAGCCACUCUGUAAUUUAGUUCUUACUGUCACCACAGCCCUACACAUUAGCAUAAAUUAAAAGCAGAGUUUAUUG
rnacentral:lncRNA from 1 species